CAAAGAGAUAGUUUGUGCACAUCUGAGUAAGCAGUAAUAAGUCACUCAAUGUGUUUAUUUUAUUUGUGAUAAGACUCUUAACGGACGAACGUGGCAAAACUCCACGCUCUUAUUUUGAAGCCCCACGUCCUCCCUCUUCCGCUCCCGUCCGCGGCUACUUGCUGGCGGCUUGACUCCAACAGUGUCAUAGAGGGGGACGAUCCCGGAGCGAGCUUAUUUCUGCCCUCACGUUCGCUGCCGGAGACGAGAGUCCGCUGGUUCCGAUGAAAGAACUCAGUCGUAACUCGGGGUGCAUUUCAUAACCCGGCCUAACCAACCCUCCCACAUGUGCUGACACGUCUCCAGGUAUUACACACAUCCCGUCGGGUCGGCGGAGGGAACGUUCACUCGGCUGGUUUUUGACACGCUGUGAGAAACAUACGAGAGACGCGCAGAGGGGGAAGAUGUUGCUGAAGGAGUACAGGAUAUGCAUGCCCCUCACAGUGGAGGAGCUCAUGAGAAAAAUGCUGACAUCGCCCAACCUUUGGCUGACCUGUGUCACUGUGCAUCUCAUGUAUUUGGCCUCAACACGGUUGGUGAAUAUAAAGUUUUCGACACAAUUUAGACUUCACACUCUAAAAGCUUCAUCUGCACGGUGAAUAGAGCUCCAGAGAUGGAACGAAAAGCCCAGAAAUUAUCCUCUGAAUAGGGGUUUCACACGAGCAGGGAUACAUCCAGGGGGAAAAAAAAGUGAAGACGAUCUUCAUUGCAGAAGGCCAGCCUCUUUUUUUUUUCCAUUUACUGUAAUGAGUCAGAGUACAGUGACAUUCAGAGAAGGCCAGUGAAAAAGACACCCAUUCAAAGCUGAAUGAGCUGAACAUCCACGUGUUCUAAGUUCAUCUGAUAAAGUGGGUAGUUGGUCGAACACUUUGGUUAGAUGGUUUGGUUUAAUGGGGUGUUAGCUCUGGCAAAAACUGAGGGAUUAUGGCACCAUCUGAUUGUAUAAGACUGUAAUCUGCUCUGAGACACGUGCUCAGGGAACACCUUUUUUUUUUGUUCUGGGCUAUCAUACGCAAUAAACCCAAAGGUGUAACCAUUUUUUUAACCACCAUGUUACUGUAGAAAUCAUUGAAGUACCCUGCUUUUUUUUUUUUUUUUUUUUUUUGCAAACCUCGAAACAGUUGGUUUAAUGCAUAAUUUAGUGUAACGCGUCUGUUCUCACAUAUUUAUCAGCGUCUGUGCUUGUAGUUUUUGAACGAUGGUAGACACACAGCAUGUGGGCAUGUUAAAUGGCCUUUGAGAUCCUGUUAUGACUUAAGCAAGGGGAAGUUGCUUGUUUUGGUGCUGGUGGCACGCUGAGAGAAUAAAUGGUUCGACUCUGGGGCUGGAUGACUGUAGGAGUGGGAGGAUGUGGGGCUGGCUGCUGGAAUGAAUGGCCGGAUGAGUAGCUGGAAGGACACCUGGGUUGUUGGCUCACACCUUCAUUUUUCAAGGCAUAAACAUCUCUGAAAGCAACAGUCUCACCAGAAUUCAUUAAAGAGAAUGACUAACUUACAAUGUAGUGCGCCCCACUUUUUGGCAAAAACCACAGAGCCUAAAAGCCUCAUUAGGGCUCAUACUGUGUGGUGCAUGUUUCACACCUGCAUCUGCACAGCUUGAGAUAUGAAAACACACACACCACCCUUGUCCAGAAGCA
ensembl:lncRNA